GGCCUUCGGACGAGCCCUCGGGCUGCAGAGCGGCGCUCCCGUUAGCCAAUCAACGCCUGGCCUCGCUCGUCAACAUUCCAGAGCCAGCCAAUCAGGACGCAGGAAGGCUGGGCUGCAGAAUUGGGAGACAAGAUCUUCGCGGAAGCCUCGGGGCUCGGGGGGCGCGCGCGCGUAAUAGGAAGAGCGAGGCGGCCCGGGUUCGAGUCCUCUCUCCGCUCAGCCUCCGACUCGCGCUGGGCGAAUUGGAGCCGGUUGCUGCCUCAGCACUGCCUGCCUCGCCGGGUUCUGGAGAGGAGGGUCAAAGGGAAAAUAAACAACUUGACGGGAAAAGGGGGCGGGAUUCAACUCCUGAGCUCUUUGAUGAGAGGAUAUGAGCUCAAGGCAACAUACGAGGUUCCCCCAUUCCAUUUUAUCCUUUCAACAACCCCGUGAGGAUAACCACAUGCUU